AGUUUGGGGGUUCUAGGCUUCUAGGGAAUGGGCUGAUGGGGCAGCAGGGUGGGUGGGUCUGUGACUGGUCUGCUUCUCCGCUGCUUCUGAUUC
rnacentral:miRNA from 1 species